rnacentral:rRNA from 1 species
CCUACGGGUGGCAGCAGUGAGGAAUAUUGGUCAAUGGGCGCGAGCCUGAACCAGCCAAGUCGCGUGAGGGAAGACGGCCCUAUGGAUUGUAAACCUCUUUUGUCUGGGAGCAAAAGAUGCCACGCGUGGCGUUCCGUGAGUACCCGAAGAAAAAGCAUCGGCUAACUCCGUGCCAGCAGCCGCGGUAAUACGGAGGAUGCGGGCGUUAUCCGGAUUUAUUGGGUUUAAGGGGUGCGCGGGGGGAAGUUCAAGUCAGCGGUAAAAUUGAGGGGCUCAACCUCUUAGGGCCGUUGAAACUGGUUGUCUUGAGUGAAGGAGAGGUAUGCGGAAUGCGUGGUGUAGCGGUGAAAUGCAUAGAUAUCACGCAGAACUCCGAUUGCGAAGGCAGUAUACUGGCGUGCAACUGACGCUGAGGCACGAAAGUGUGGGUAUCAAACAGGAUUAGAUACCCGGGUAGUC